AGUGAACGCUGGCGGCAGGCCUAACACAUGCAAGUCGAACGGCAGCACAGAGGAGCUUGCUCCUUGGGUGGCGAGUGGCGAACGGGUGAGGAAUGCAUCGGAAUCUGCCCAAUCGUGGGGGAUAACCUCGGGAAACCGGGACUAAUACCGCAUACGACCUUCGGGUGAAAGCGGGGGAUCGCAAGACCUUGCGCGAUUGGAUGAGCCGAUGCCGGAUUAGCUAGUUGGCGGGGUAAAGGCCCACCAAGGCGACGAUCCGGAGCUGGUCUGGGAGGAUGAUCGGCCACACUGGAACUGAGACACGGUCCAGACUCCUACGGGAGGCAGCAGUGGGGAAUAUUGGACAAUGGGCGCAAGCCUGAUCCAGCCAUGCCGCGUGGGUGAAGAAGGCCUUCGGGUUGUAAAGCCCUUUUGUUGGGAAAGAAAAGCGGCCGGUUAAUACCCGGUUGUUCUGACGGUACCCAAAGAAUAAGCACCGGCUAACUUCGUGCCAGCCGCCGCGGUAAUAC
rnacentral:rRNA from 1 species